AGGCAAAGUCACAUCACCAUACAGUUUUCCUGUAAGCAUGUGUAACUCCACACUUGGUGUUAUUGCCAUUUCAUCCAUGGUCAACACACACUCCUUCUCCAGGUCUGUAAAUCCAUUCACCUUCAGUUUGAGGAAGUCAAAUACUUCUGUCAAAACACCAGGCUCAAAUUUAACUGUUUGCAUCCUUCUUUGCAGGGUUCUAAUUCCUGGCAGGGGAAUCUGCAUGUCCCGCAAGGCCUUGUAUCCUGUGGAACCUGCAGCAAAUCGAAGUUUUAAUGCCUUCUUCAGUGUAUCGUUGCUCCAUAUCAUCCCUUUUGUGGAGCUGUGAAUCUGUGGUUAGUGGUUCCCUGUUGUGCUGACUGACUGACGUGGGCUCUCCCUGUCUCUCCUCAUCUGCCAUGUUGACUCUUUCUACUGUCUCACUUUCCCUUCUCUCAGUCUCCUCAGUCUUGGAAACUGUUUAGCUGUGAUCAGCAGCUAUGGACCAUGCAUUUGCAGGUGAAAGAGGGCAUCGUGGAGUUGGGGCCUUCCUCUUUUUUUCAUAGAGUGAUGCGCAAAGAUGGUGGGUAUCGCAUCUUCUCUCAGCCUCAUCUUGCCCUUGCUGGUCUUAAUAAACUGGUCAGCCUCAAAAUGUGCCUGCAGAGUUACCUCACCUUAGUUGACAUACACCACAGCUCACUUUUAU